rnacentral:rRNA from 1 species
GACGAACGCUGGCGGCGUGCUUAACACAUGCAAGUCGAACGGAAAGGCCUGCUUUCCCUUGUGGAUUGCGGGUACUCGAGUGGCGAACGGGUGAGUAACACGUGAGUGAUCUGCCCCCAACUUGGGUAUAAGCCUGGGAAACUGGGUCUAAUUCCCGAUAGGACUGCAGGGUGGUGCCUGUGGUGGAAAACGAUUUUCUAGUGGUUGGGGAUGAGCUCGCGGCCUAUCAGCUUGUUGGUGGGGUAAUGGCCUACCAAGGCGGCGACGGGUAGCCGGCCUGGGAGGGUGGACGGCGACAUUGGGACUGAGAUACGGCCCAGACUCCUACGGGAGGCAGCAGUGGGGAAUAUUGCACAAUGGGCGGAAGCCUGAUGCAGCGACGCCGCGUGGGGGAUGACGGCCUUCGGGUUGUAAACUCCUUGCGACCGCGAGGAAGCCACCUGGUUGGAAGGGUGGUGACGGUAGUGGUAGAAGAAGCACCGGCUAACUACGUG